AGUGGAUGGGGAGCAACCUAGUUGUGCGUGUGUAAAGGUAGUGCCAAGAAAAGCGGUGAUCAUGAUGAAAAUCAAUUCCCGGUACCCGAAACCGACACAGGUGGGCAAGUAGAGAAUACUAAGGGGCGCGAGGUAACUCUCUCCAAGGAACUCGGCAAAAUGACCCCGUAACUUAGGGAGAAGGGGUGCCACCGAGAGGUGGUCGCAGUGAAGAGGCCCAGGCGACUGUUUAGCAAAAACAUAGGUCUCUGCAAACUCGAAAGAGGAGGUAUAGGGGCUGACGCCUGCCCAGUGCCGGAAGGUUAAAGAAGUUGGUCAGUCUUAGGAUAAAGCUAGCGACUGAAGCCCCGGUGAACGGCGGCCGUAACUAUAACGGUCCUAAGGUAGCGAAAUUCCUUGUCGGGUAAGUUCCGACCCGCACGAAAGGCGUAACGAUCUGGGCGCUGUCUCGGAGAGAGGCUCGGCGAAAUAGGAUUGUCUGUGAAGAUACGGACUACCUGCAUUUGGACAGAAAGACCCUAUGAAGCUUUACUAUAGCUUGGAAUUGUGUUCGGGCUUCCUGUGCGCAGGAUAGGUGGGAGGCGUAGAAGGUAUUCUUGUGGGGAUACUGGAGCCAACUGUGAGAUACCACUCUCAGGAGGCUAGAAUUCUAACUUAAUUAAGGACAGUUUCAGGUGGGUAGUUUGACUGGGGCGGUCGCCUCCAAAAAGGUAACGGAGGCGUACAAAGGUUCCCUCAGACUGGUCGGAAAUCAGUCGCAGAGUGCAAAGGCAGAAGGGAGCUUGACUGCGAGAAGUACAGUUCGAGCAGGGUGGAAACACGGUCUUAGUGAUCCGACGGUGCUGUGUGGAAGGGCCGUCGCUCAACGGAUAAAAGUUACUCUAGGAUAACAGGCUGAUCUCCCCCAAGAGUUCACAUCGACGGGGAGGUUUGGCACCUCGAUGUCGGCUCAUCGCAACCUGGGGCGGAAGUACGUCCCAAGGGUUGGGCUGUUCGCCCAUUAAAGCGGUACGUGAGCUGGGUUCAGAACGUCGUGAGACAGUUCGGUCCAUAUCCGAUGUAGGCGUGAGAAUAUUGAGAGGAGCCUUCCUUAGUACGAGAGGACCGGGAAGGACGCACCGCUGGUGUACCUGUUAUGAUGCCAAUUGUAAACGCAGGGUAGCCAAGUGCGGAGAGGAUAACCGCUGAAAGCAUCUAAGUGGGAAGCCCACCUCAAGAUGAGUAUUCUGGUGUAAGGUCACGGGAAGACGACCCGUAAAUAGGCACGAGGUGGAAGUGCAGAGAUGUAUGAAGCCGAAGUGUACUAAUAGACCGUCGGCUUGACC
rnacentral:rRNA from 1 species